rnacentral:ncRNA from 10 species
CACGUUCAUCCUAAGGGACGGAAGUAGGCUGAAAAGCUGAAGGAACGCACC